rnacentral:rRNA from 1 species
UACGAAGGGGGCUAGCGUUGCUCGGAAUCACUGGGCGUAAAGCGCACGUAGGCGGAUUGCUAAGUCAGGGGUGAAAUCCUGGAGCUCAACUCCAGAACUGCCUUUGAUACUGGCGACCUUGAGUCCGGGAGAGGUGAGUGGAACUGCGAGUGUAGAGGUGAAAUUCGUAGAUAUCAGGAGGAACACCAGUGGCGAAGGCGGCUUUCUGGACGGUAACUGACGCUGAGACGCGAAAGCGUGGGGAGCAAACAGG